AUACGUCUGAAGAUGAAUGCAGAAUCCAGUUCUCGGAUGUAGAAGGGCUUGAUGGACAUAAAGAGGGUUCUACAGAACUUUCAAUCGAUACGUCUGAAGAUGAAUGCAGAAUCCAGUUCUCGGAUGUAGAAGGGCUUGAUGGACAUAAAGAGGGUUCUACAGAACUUUCAAUUGAUACGUCUGAAGAUGAAUGCAGAAUCCAGUUCUCGGAUGUAGAAGGGCUUGAUGGACAUGAGGAGGGUACUACAGA